rnacentral:misc_RNA from 1 species
GAUGAAGAACGUAGCGAAAUGCGAUACUUGGUGUGAAUUGCAGAAUCCCGUGAACCAUCGAGUCUUUGAACGCAAGUUGCGCCCGAAGCCAUUAGGCCGAGGGCACGCCUGCCUGGGCGUCACACGUCGUUGCCCCCCCAUCUACUCCUUCGGGAUUGCGGGGGGCGGAUGAUGGCCUCCCGUGCGCCUCGCCGCGCGGUUGGCAUAAAUGCCAAGUCCUCGGCGACGCACGCCACGACAAUCGGUGGUUGCGAAACCUCGGUUGCCCGUCGUGUGCGGUCGUCGCGCAUCGAGGGCUCGAAAAAAUUGCCGGGUUCCGGCUCGGCUUUCAACGCGACCCCAGGUCAGGCGGGGUUACCCGCUGAAUUUAAGCAUAUCAAUAAGUGGAGGA